CCAAGACACCAAUUACUACAAUGUCCGCCCGGACACUACGAGCACCAGCUUAAAACCCAAAGGACCUGACGGUUCCUUAGAUCCCCCUAGAGGAGCCUGUUCUAGAACCGAUUAUCCCCGUUAAACCUCACCACCCCUAGCAAUAUCAGCCUAUAUACCACCGUCGCCAGCUUACCCUGUGAAGGAGCAAAAGUAAGCACAAUGGGUAAAACCCAAUACGUCAGGUCGAGGUGUAGCAAAUGGAGUGGGAAGAAUGGGCUACAUUUU
rnacentral:rRNA from 1 species